rnacentral:rRNA from 1 species
UACGUAGGGGGCUAGCGUUGUCCGGAAUCAUUGGGCGUAAAGAGCGCGUAGGCGGCCAGAUAAGUCCGGUGUGAAAGUCACAGGCUCAACCUGUGAAUGCCGCUGGAAACUGUCUGGCUAGAGUCCGGAAGGGGCGAGUGGAAUUCCUGGUGUAGCGGUGAAAUGCGCAGAUAUCAGGAGGAACACCGGUGGCGAAGGCGGGUCUCUGGGACGGUACUGACGCUGAGACGCGAAAGCGUGGGGAGCGAACAGG